rnacentral:lncRNA from 1 species
GUCUUCAAGGCUUGUGUGUCCUAGGGCAUCCACUCUGAGCACUGCUGUUCUAGACCACAUGAUGCAUUUGGCCAGAUGAGGAUGUCAUCCCUCACUGUCUCACAUUCUUGCUUGAUUUGGUAGCAGACUAAUAGAAGCUGCCCCUUGUUGGGUUUUACUGUGUUGGUCAUGCCUGCAAUAGAAAGUUUCUCACUUGUGUGGGGUUUUCUUUAGAGCAUGUAAUAAUUUUGCCACCCUAGAGGACUUAAAGUAAUCAUAGUGUUCUUCUAGAAGCAGCAGCAAAUACUUUUUUUUUUUUUUUUAAACAAAAGCAGAACAACAGUGCUGAGGCUGAGCAAACGUCCAUCUUACCGUAUGUCUUGUCUGCAAAACCACAACUCUUAAGCUUCACAAGGAAACAAGCCACCAACUGUGAGAUUGCUUUACCUGCAUUGUUACUAGAAAUUACAACUGCUAUUGACUGGAAGCUUCCUCUGUCUAUUUCAAGUGCUUUAGAACUACUGACUGCAGCACAGCCCGGACAGCAGGCAUUUCUUCUGCGUGUUGCUCGUAUGCAAGGCUUAGAUUAAAGGCACAAAGAGAAGAGAGCAGCACGCACAGGUACAACAAGCAGAAGUUUACCCAUGCUUCUCUGCUAGGGUGGCAGGCAGUUUUGUGUCUUUAACUGGUUCCUGGUAGCAGAACCU